rnacentral:lncRNA from 10 species
GAUUAACCAAGAAAAGAAGAGAGAAGAUCCAAAUAAGCUCAAUUAGAAAUGAAGCAGGCGAUAUUACAACCAAUAGCACAGAAAUACAAUAAAUCAUUCAAAGCUAUUAUGAACACAUUUGCACACACAAAGUAGAAAACCUAGAGGAGAUGGAUAAAUUCCUGGAAAUAUAUAACCCUCCUAGACUAAACCAGGAAGCAAUAGAAACUCUGAACAGACCAAUAACAAGCAGUGAGAUUGCAAUGGUAAUAAAAAUUGCCAACAAAAAAAAGUCCAGGACCAGAUGGAUUCACAACUGAAUUAUAUCAGACGUUCAAAGAAGAACCAAUACCCAUCCUACUAAAACUAUUCCAAAAGAUAGGGAAAGAGGGAAUUCUCCUUACUCUAUUAAGCCACUGUCACUUCAAUACCAAAACUAGGAAAAGACAUAACAAAAAAAGAAAACUACAGUAUCCCUGAUGCAAAAAUCCUCAACAAAAUACUAACUAACCAAAUCCAAUAGCAUAUCAAAAAGAUGAUCCACCACGAGCAAGUGUGUUUAAUACCAGGGAUGCAAAGAUUGUUUAACAUAGACAAGUCAAUGAAUGUGAUACACCACAUAAACAGAAUUAAAAACAAAAAUCAUAUGAUCAUCUCAAUAGAUGCAGAAAAACAUGCAACAAAAAAAUCCAGUAUCCCUUUAUGAUUAAGACCCUCAGCAAAAUCGGCAUAGAAGGGACACACCUUAAGGUAACAAAAGCCAUCUAUGCCAAAUCCACAGCCAAUAUUAUACUGAAUGGGGAAAAGUUGAAAGCAUUUCCCCUGAGAACUGGAACAAGACAAGGAUGCCCACUCUCACCACUUCUAUUCAACAUAGUACUGCAAGUCCCCACCAGAGCAAUCAGACAAGAAAAAGAAAUAAAGGGCAUCCAAAUCGGUAAAGAGGAAGUCAAAUUGUCCCUGUUUGCUGAUGAUAUGAUUCUAUACCUAGAAAACCUGAAAGACUAAUUCAAAAAGCUCCUAGGUCUGAUAAAUGAAUUCAGUAAACUUUCAGAAUACAAAAUCAAUGUACACAAAUUAAUAGCACUGCUAUACACCAACAGAGGCCAAGCUGAAAAUAAAAUCAAGAACUCAACCCCUUUUACAAUAGCUGCAAAAAAUAAAUAAAUAAAAUACGUAGGAAUAUAUCUAACCCAGGAGGUGAAAGACCUCUGCAAGGAAAACUACAAAACACUACUGAAAGAAAUCAUAGAUGACACAAACAAAUGGAAGCACAUCCCAUGCUCAUGGAUGGGUAGAAUCAAUAUUGUGAAAAUGACCAUAAUGCCACAAGUAAUCUACAAAUUCAUUGCAAUUCCCAUCAAAAUACCACCAUCACUCUUCAUAGAACAACAACAAAAAAAAAUCCUAAAAUUCAUGUGAAACCAAAAAAGAGCCCGUAUAGCCAAAGCAAGACUAAGCAAAAGAACAAAUCUGGAGGCAUCACAUUACCUGACUUCAAAUUAUACUAUAAAGCUAUAGUCACCAAAACAGCAUGGUCCUGGUAUAAAAAUAGGCACAUAGACCAAUGGAACAGAAUAGAGAACCCAGAAAUAAACCUAAAUACUUACAGCAAACUGCUCUUCAACAAAGAAAACAAAAACAUAACCUGGGGAAAGGACACCUUAUUCAACAAAUGGUACUGGGAUAAUUGGCAAGCCACAUGUAGAAGAAUGAAACUGGAUCUCUCACCUUAUAAAAAAAAUCAACUCGAGAUGGAUCGAAGACUUAAAUCUAGGACCUGAAACCAUAAAAAUUUUAGAAGAUAGCAUUGGAAAAACUCUUCUAGCCAUUGGCCUGGGCAAAGACUUUAUAACCAAGAACCCAAAAGCAAAUGCAACAAAAACAAAAAUAAAUAGAUGGGACUUAAUUAAAUUAAAAAGCUCCUGCACAGCAAAAGAAAUAACCAGCAGAAUAAACAGACAACUCACAGAGUGGAGAAAAUUUUCACAAACUAUACAUCUGACAAAGGACAAAUUUCCAGAAUCUACUUAAACAAAUAAGCAAGAACAAAACAAAUAAUCCCCCC